rnacentral:rRNA from 1 species
GUAGGGUGCAAGCGUUAAUCGGAAUUACUGGGCGUAAAGCGUGCGCAGGCGGUUGUGCAAGACAGAGGUGAAAUCCCCGAGCUUAACUUGGGAACUGCCUUUGUGACUGCACGGCUAGAGUGUGUCAGAGGGGGGUAGAAUUCCACGUGUAGCAGUGAAAUGCGUAGAGAUGUGGAGGAAUACCGAUGGCGAAGGCAGCCCCCUGGGAUAACACUGACGCUCAUGCACGAAAGCGUGGGGAGCAAACAGGAUUAGAUACCCUGGUAGUCCACGCCCUAAACGAUGUCAACUAGUUGUCGGGUCUUAAUUGACUUGGUAACGCAGCUAACGCGUGAAGUUGACCGCCUGGGGAGUACGGUCGCAAGAUUA